AGCUUUUUAAAUCUGUGCUGAGAUUUCGUCAGGCACCAGCCCAUUAGGGCUUAUCAGACUUCCAAGAUAAGUAAAGCA
rnacentral:pre_miRNA from 1 species